UACGGAAUGAACUCAAAUCAUGUAAGAUUUUUAAUGGUCGAACAGACCAACCUUUAGUAACUGCUGCAUUACUGGGAUAACUCAAUUCAACAUCGAGGUGUCAAACUUCAUCUUCAAUACCAUCUUUAGGAUGAAAUUAACCUGUUAUCCCUAAAGUAGCUUUUAUCUAUUUAUUGUCUUUAGAGAAUUUAAAAUAAAGACAGGUCAUUAUAUCCACUUUGUGAUUGUUAAAUCUAUAGAUUAAACAAUAAGUGUAUUUAUUAAUAUUAAUAAAUAAAUUUUAUUUACAUUCUUUUUUUUUAAAAUGCUGUUGCCCCAACAAAACUACCACUCUCAAAGAUGAAAACCCUAAAUUCAAUGGAUGAAGAUAGAGUAGGUUUGAGAAUAUAGUUAAGCUUUAUAGGGUCUUCUCGUCUUACAGUUUUAAAUAGCAUCUUCACUAUUAUUUAAAUUUUUUUUUAGUUUAUAUUUAAGACAGUGGAAACCUCGUGAAGCCAUUCACCUACGUUCGCCAAUUAAACAACUAUUUAUUUUCCUACAUUAUCACCGUCAGAAAUACAGCGGCCGUUAAGUUCAAUUUUAAAGUCUUUGACUUAAUAUUAUAAACCACUGGGCAGGCAUCAUCUCUAAGUUUGAAGUA
rnacentral:rRNA from 1 species